UUUCACACCGCUGUUCCAAGUUCUGGGAACACACCACCCAGUGAUAGCAAUGCCUCAGCCCAUGCCUCGACUCAUUUACCUGCAACGUGAGCCAACAGACAGACCAACACUUCAAAGUUAUGACAGAAAGUUGAGUGGGGUCCUGUGGGAAAGGAUGGAGCUCUCUCUACCAGGUUGGUCACCAGGCUGAACAAGGAGAAACAUGGCAACCAUUGUACUGGUUUUGAUGAUCUCUCCAAACCAAGGCUUCAGUUUCCAAGAACGACCUACGGUAGCAUAACUAGUGUGUGUCACACAUGCCACUAAGUGUGUUUCCACUCACACAUUUUAAUUGGAGAAAUACUUCCUAUGAGGAGAGAAAAGUUUCACUGAAGGCAGGUGUAGUUCAGCCAAGCCCUACAGCACAGAAGUAGGAAUGUGGGUGCCAGGAGCCAGACUCAGCCUACAGCUGUCUUCUGCUCGCCUGGAGGUGAAACAAGGUGUCAUGAUUAGUCAAAUCCCGUCUUCACUCAUCAAGAUAUCCAAAGCCCCUUGCCUUUGGGGAGGCGGAUUUGAGACCUAUUGUCACGUCACAUCCUCGCUUGGCUGCCCUGUGAAUAAACCUCCUUUUUGCUGC